rnacentral:rRNA from 1 species
AUGCACGCUGGCGGCGUGCCUAAUACAUGCAAGUCGAGCGAACAGACGAGGAGCUUGCUCCUCUGACGUUAGCGGCGGACGGGUGAGUAACACGUGGAUAACCUACCUAUAAGACUGGGAUAACUUCGGGAAACCGGAGCUAAUACCGGAUAAUAUAUUGAACCGCAUGGUUCAAUAGUGAAAGACGGUUUUGCUGUCACUUAUAGAUGGAUCCGCGCCGCAUUAGCUAGUUGGUAAGGUAACGGCUUACCAAGGCGACGAUGCGUAGCCGACCUGAGAGGGUGAUCGGCCACACUGGAACUGAGACACGGUCCAGACUCCUACGGGAGGCAGCAGUAGGGAAUCUUCCGCAAUGGGCGAAAGCCUGACGGAGCAACGUCGCGUGAGUGAUGAAGGUCUUCGGAUCGUAAAACUCUGUUAUUAGGGAAGAACAAAUGUGUAAGUAACUAUGCACGUCUUGACGGUACCUAAUCAGAAAGCCACGGCUAACUACGUG